GCUAAUACCGCAUAACAACGAAAACCACAUGGUUUUCGUUUCAAAGAUGGUUUCGGCUAUCACUUCAGGAUGGGCCCGCGGUGCAUUAGCUAGUUGGUAAGGUAACGGCUUACCAAGGCAAUGAUGCAUAGCCGAGUUGAGAGACUGAUCGGCCACAAUGGAACUGAGACACGGUCCAUACUCCUACGGGAGGCAGCAGUAGGGAAUCUUCCACAAUGGGCGCAAGCCUGAUGGAGCAACACCGCGUGAGUGAAGAAGGGUUUCGGCUCGUAAAGCUCUGUUGUUGGAGAAGAACGUGCGUGAGAGUAACUGUUCACGCAGUGACGGUAUCCAACCAGAAAGUCACGGCUAACUACGUGCCAGCAGCCGCGGUAAUACGUAGGUGGCAAGCGUUAUCCGGAUUUAUUGGGCGUAAAGCGAGCGCAGGCGGUUGCUUAGGUCUGAUGUGAAAGCCUUCGGCUUAACCGAAGAAGGGCAUCGGAAACCGGGCGACUUGAGUGCAGAAGAGGACAGUGGAACUCCAUGUGUAGCGGUGGAAUGCGUAGAUAUAUGGAAGAACACCAGUGGCGAAGGCGGCUGUCUGGUCUGCAACUGACGCUGAGGCUCGAAAGCAUGGGUAGCGAACAGGAUUAGAUACCCUGGUAGUCCAUGCCGUAAACGAUGAGUGCUAGGUGUUGGAGGGUUUCCGCCCUUCAGUGCCGGAGCUAACGCAUUAAGCACUCCGCCUGGGGAGUACGACCGCAAGGUUGAAACUCAAAGGAAUUGACGGGGGCCCGCACAAGCGGUGGAGCAUGUGGUUUAAUUCGAAGCUACGCGAAGAACCUUACCAGGUCUUGACAUCUUGCGCUAACCUAAGAGAUUAGGCGUUCCCUUCGGGGACGCAAUGACAGGUGGUGCAUGGUCGUCGUCAGCUCGUGUCGUGAGAUGUUGGGUUAAGUCCCGCAACGAGCGCAACCCUUGUUACUAGUUGCCAGCAUUCAGUUGGGCACUCUAGUGAGACUGCCGGUGACAAACCGGAGGAAGGUGGGGACGACGUCAGAUCAUCAUGCCCCUUAUGACCUGGGCUACACACGUGCUACAAUGGACGGUACAACGAGUUGCGAACUCGCGAGAGUAAGCUAAUCUCUUAAAGCCGUUCU
rnacentral:rRNA from 2 species